CUACGGGCCGCAGCAGUGGGGAAUCUUAGACAAUGGGGGAAACCCUGAUCUAGCCAUGCCGCGUGAGCGACGACGGCCCUAGGGUUGUAAAGCUCUUUCAGCAGGGAAGAUAAUGACGGUACCUGCAGAAGAAGUCCCGGCUAACUCCGUGCCAGCAGCCGCGGUAAUACGGAGGGGACUAGCGUUGUUCGGAAUUACUGGGCGUAAAGCGCGCGUAGGCGGAUUGUUAAGUCGGGGGUGAAAUCCCGGGGCUCAACCCCGGAACUGCCCUCGAUACUGGCAGUCUUGAGUUCGAGAGAGGUGAGUGGAAUUCCGAGUGUAGAGGUGAAAUUCGUAGAUAUUCGGAGGAACACCAGUGGCGAAGGCGGCUCACUGACUCGAUACUGACGCUGAGGUGCGAAAGCGUGGGGAGCAAACAGGAUUAGAUACCCUCGUAGUC
rnacentral:rRNA from 1 species